UGAGUCUGGGGGCACAACUCCUACUGUAUUCGGCACAUCAUGCCCCAAACUGCCUGCUUGAUUUAGUGGGAUUUAGACAGUUGUUAAUGCCUCAUCCACAUGCUUGUAACUGUUAUUGGAGAUUUCGGGAUCUGAAAUUCCUUCUUAAUCAGAUAGGGCCGAUAAUUAUUCUUGCUUAGAGGAAACUCGAAUUGGAUGGUUAAGGUCGGCUCAAAAGACAUC
rnacentral:lncRNA from 1 species